AUGAAGUGUGUGCAUUGCAGGUGCAUUGCGAAUGGACCUGGAUCAUACCCCUAAGUGCCUAGAACUAGAUUUCUGUUAUUAGGAUCAAUUGGUCUGUAGUCGCACCUUUUUGGCUGUUUGCCCUACAAAUAUAGCAGUUUUAUAUGUUCUUUUACUUUAUCAUUUACAAUGUACAUUCUAACUUCUUGUUUCUAGAACUGUUUAAAAAAUUUUUUUUUGUUAAAUCUGCAAAACAUAUUAGCUUGCAUUUUGCACUAACAACCUUUGUAAGCCUGUGGACUGCUAUUUAUGGAAUCCCCAAAGGUAAAGCAACUCCUAAACCUCAGGAUCAAGGAGGUUUUUAUCCCAGGACUGACCUUGGAGUUCUGAUAAAGGGGUAGAGGACUGAUUUUGUAAUCUUCCAGGCCUGAGCUGGAAUCCCUGGCUUUGUCACCAUGUACAAGCAGCGUGACCUUGGGCAAGUUGCUUAACCCCUUUAAGCCUCAGUUAUUACAUCCAUAAAAUGGGGUAACACCUACCUUGUAGAGUUGCUGUGAGGUUGAAUGAGACCGUGUACCUAAAUACACUCCUGGCUCAGUGCCUGGCUUACAGAAGGGUUUCACAAGGGAUGGUUCUUAACAUGAUGAACUAGCGAUGUCAGUUUUGGCACAUGAUUAAGGAAGUUUCCUGAAAGUUCUGAGCAUAUUUGGUAAAAGUGCAAAUCUCUUCAGAGCUCUGAAAGGUGCCACCAUUACCACUUGACGGAGCCUGGGAUGCUUCCUCAUUGGAGCAUAUGACUGAGGAGGAUUUGAAUUCUUUAAAAAGAUAUUAGGAAUCUGGGUAAAAAUUAAAUAAGUUGACUGUUACGAUUAAUGAAGAAUGUUUCAGAAUGGAUAAUUUUUAGAACUUAUUUAGGGAAAAUGAAUUUGAAGAUUAACCCAUUAUGAGAAGGAACAUAUGAAUCAAGAUGCUGUGAUUAAUACCCUAAUUUAGCAGGAUAUAAUAUACCAUUAUAUUUAGUAUUGGUAAACUACAUUUUUCAGGGAUUUUUAAAAAUAUGACUUUGGAUUAAUUAUAUACUUUCACAAAAGGAUUUCAUCCACAACUGGUGUAUUAGAAAUACUGCGCUGCCUAUUUUUAAUUUUUUUCUCGGUAAAGACUUAGAUUAUCUGCUUGGUUCUGAAAAAAAAAUCUAUCAGAAUGUUAUAUUUUAAUAUUUAUUGCUGUUGGAAUGAUAGGAAUCUAGUUUAAAAUGGAAACCCACUGGUGGUUUGCUCGAUAAGGAAGAAAACAAGAAAACUGACAAGCUGGAGCAGUUACGAUCCUGAGAAACUAGAGCCGUGUUUGCAGAAUGUAGUGCUGUUUGCUUUCCCUCCACUGGGCGCUCUGGAAUCACCCUGACAGAGUGUGGGUGAACCCAGGGGCUAUCCCUUCAGACUGACGUGGCUUUGUUUACAUAACUUGGGUCCACAUUUAUUACUGAUAUUCUCUCCGUAUAGUCAUUUGCUCAAACUGACUUCAGGGUGAGUCUUGUUCUCAGAAAAGAAGAAAAAGUUGGUCAGAACAAAAGAAAGCCUCCAAAUAUAUUUUAGAAAACAUAUUUGGCAAACCAAUAGAAUUACUGCUUUGGGUCAUGAAUCACUCUCUCUGAGACCCGUUCUCUGCAUCAGCAUUCCUUCCCAAAAGACCCAUCUCCCGCUAAGGCCAUAAUGCUGUACAUGAAAAUCGAAGCCUUGCAUCCUGUCUCCUGAUGGAAUCCCCUCUGUUCCUGGACCUCAUCCUCCUGUGCUGGCGAUUCCCCAGGGUCUGGGAUGGUGCCUUUUCCAUCUUUGUUUGCUUUUCCUGCAGCGCCCAGACAAACCCCACGAUGACUCUGAGUGCUGUGCUGACUAAAAUUGACAGGAGAAAGGCCUUUGGGGGCGUGUUAAUGAUGCUUUAGGAGGUCAGUCGGUGGAUGGGAAAUAAAUGGGUUGGUACUGUGGGAGCAUUAAAGCUGCAGGCUGUGCGGCAGAAAAUGCAAAAGAGUCCGACCAGCAGGGGGAAAUAGCUGGUUUUAAUCCAACCAUUUUAACACUAAGGCCAGAAAGCGUGUUGGCUGCUUAAUCGUGGCAGUUAAGUCAGAGACCAGGGUACAUGCAAAUAUUACAAAAGCCAUCCUUUUCUAUAAUGAAACUAAAAUUAUUCAGUGGUGUCUGUUACCGCCAUAGAUUCAUAACCUUACAGUGAUCAGUCUGCAUUAGCUUAUCUCUUGUACAAUCAUCUUGUUCUCUAAUGUGAAAGGGGACAUGCAGAGUUAGGGGGAUUCUUACAAUCUGGAGAUGAAAUGACAGAGGAAGAUGCAAUUUAAUUUGAAAAUUACAUUUUAAGAACUGCAACCUAGAGACUCUCCAAAUCUGUAUCAAAGGCAUUGAUGGUGAAGAGCAUCAUCUGUUCUAAGAUAUUAAGUUAUUGAAAGAAGGAUAAUGUGGUGAGUUUACACAAAGUUAAAUUUACUUAACAUAAAGGAUUACCCUUUAUUCUGAGAGUCUGGCUUUCCUAUUAUUCAUAGUGUAACAAAAAAAAAUCAUGAUAAUGGUUUUGUUCUCCACCCCCACCCUCAUUUUCUCUUUUAAUUUUACUGAUCUGUGAAAUUAAAACGCUGGAAACUGUUGGCAAAGUGACCUGUCCAUUUUGACUCUUCUCUAUUUCUGCCCACUGCUUCCCGCCUUCUUUCCCAUGGGAGCCUCGACAAGGAACAGUUAAUGACUUGAUAUUCUAUAUGCUAAUUUGUAUGUUGUAUCUGUCUCAUUUCAGGAAGGAGUUGUGUGUGACCUUUGGCAAUUCAUUUGGGGUGUGUCCCCAAAGAGCUCUUCUUUUAAUAGCUUCUUAUUAGCGGAAUUUCUUUGAAGUUAUGCAUUUUGGGGCAAUGUACUGCAACAUCAUUCUCCUUUUAACAGUCUAUUCCAUACAGUGCGUAUUCCUGUUAGUCCCUGUGACCUCAGUUGGGUGCAGUUAAGUUGAUAUGGGAGGCCGGGCCUUAUUUUGUGUGCAUAACAGGUAAAACAUUGUAUACUUUUAGUAAAUAUUAACUAACACUUCCUUUAAAAAAGAGAGUGCAUAAGGAAGUACAACUACUAGUAACAAAACACCUGCUCCCAUGCCCCCCCUUUUAUUUUUAAUCAUUUUUUAACCAAGGUGUCAGCCUAGUGUCUCCCUCUCUUUUCUUCUGCAAACCCCCUGCCUGUGUUUCUUGUUUUAACAUACCCAUGAGAAGUGAUAAAACCCAUCUGUAUGAUUUGUGUCCUGGGUGUGGCUCACCGCAUCGAGGUCUGGGUCCAUUUUUCUCCCCUCCUUUUUUUGUUGGUAGUUAAUUGUGUUUGUCAUCAUCCUGGGACUCCAGCCACUAUUAGCAAAGCUGAUGACCAGGGUGAGUAAGUCAGUCACAUACAUCUGUCACCAGACAUGGUUAGCAGCAUGCUGGGCAUUCCUUUUUGCUUAGUUGAGGCAAUAAUUGCCCCUUAGAACUGGGAGGCAGAUGGAUUGCUGGACUUUAAGCUAGUUCUCCUUGGGGUGCCUUGUAAACAUGGCAGGUGGAACAAAUUAUGCGUAUAGAACACUGGUGGUUUUAUGGGAGACCACCGAUUUCUCUGAGUUAUUUCCAUGUUUCUAAUCUACACACACAGGUACCCAGGCAAAUUUGUGACUUAACCCAUUAAGAACUUUGUACCCUGUCAACUGCUCAGUGAUCAGAACCCAAGAGUCUUUGCUGUCUGAUCCUGAGUAAGGAAGGCGUUUGCAGAAAGUGUUUUGGUUUGUGCAGUGGCUAUGAAGAAAUCCUUCUUUGAGUGCCAUGACUGGGAGGUAAUCAUUGUUGCUGUUUGUGGGAAGGACAAUUAAGGCAAAUUACAACCUGACUAGUGUUCCGCACGGCAUGACAACGCCUCCAAAAAUUUGCCAGGCCUUGCCAAGCAGAAAUAUUUCUGCUCCGCUUUUGUCCAGUGGAGGAAACUUGGCAUCUGGAUAGAGUGAGCCUUUGAACAUAAUGAAGAGAAUUGAGAUGAACUGCUUAAAGUAAAGUGAGCUGCAAUCCCAAAUUACAGCAUAAUUGAAUGACUGCCAACCUGCUGUGAAGAAAGAAAAAAAAAGACCCUGAGACUUUAG